AAGCUUAAAGCUCUCCUUGAGAGGAAAGGUGCAAGAGUUCUGGCCGAUUAUGAAGCUUCUGGAAUGCUCUCAGAGACGUCAAGAAAGCUCCUUGUUAAAAUUGGUGUCAGUGAUUUGAUUGAGAGAAAUGGAUUUUAUCCAGCAACUGAUGACAAAACCAGGUUGGCGAGGUGUGUGGUUACGCUUUUCCUGUCACUGAGAGUCAGGAUGGAAGAUGAGAAUGAAGGCUUUAUUGGAACCAGUAUUUCCAGCCUUCUGGACAACCAAAAUCCUCCUGCACGCCAGCCCAACCUUGUGUGUAUUGGUCAACCCAACACCACUGCUCAAUACAUCAUCAUUGCUGAAAACGACAAAGUUGCCAUCCCACUGCAGGAUAAUGGUUUGACCUACG